GUUGGGUUAAGUCCGUACGAGCGCAACCCUUGUCCUAGUUACCAGCACGUUAUGGUGGGCACUCUAAGGAGACUGCCGGUGACAAACCGGAGGAAGGUGGGGAUGACGUCAAGUCAUCAUGGCCCUUACGGCCUGGGCUACACACGUGCUACAAUGGUCGGUACAAAGGGUUGCCAAGCCGCGAGGUGGAGCUAAUCCCAUAAAACCGAUCGUAGUCCGGAUCGCAGUCUGCAACUCGACUGCGUGAAGUCGGAAUCGCUAGUAAUCGUGAAUCAGAAUGUCACGGUGAAUACGUUCCCGGGCCUU
rnacentral:rRNA from 1 species